ACCUACGCGGGGCAGCAGUGAGGAAUAUUGGUCAAUGGGCGGGAGCCUGAACCAGCCAAGUCGCGUGAGGGAAGACGGUCCUAUGGAUUGUAAACCUCUUUUGUCGGGGAGCAAAGAGAUCACGUGUGGUCACCCUCCAGCUCCCCACCCUCCCCCUCCUCUGGCCACUCCGUGCCAGCAGCCGCGGUAAUACGGAGGAUGCGAGCGUUAUCCGGAUUUAUUGGGUUUAAAGGGUGCGUAGGCGGGACGGUAAGUCAGCGGUAAAAAUGCGGAGCUCAACUCCGUCGAGCCGUU
rnacentral:rRNA from 1 species